ACCUCCUGUGGCUCAGUGAGUCAGUGCGUCUGGCUGUUAACCAGAAGGUUGGUGGUUCGAGCCCACCUAGGGAUG
rnacentral:tRNA from 1 species